CUUCCAAACUAUUUAUCCAUCCUCCAAAUUUCCAUGGCUCCUUCACCCCUCACUCCCUCUGUUGAGAAUCUUGACUCACUGAGAUCAUUUACCAUGAAGUCUCUCCUCCCCUCUUCAUCUCCUCUCAUUCAGCUGCCUUCUGUCCCUUUCCCCCUCCUUCAUGCCUUUCUCAUAUGAUGAAGCAGUCUCAUUGCUAGCUAUACCAUCCCAUUUUUUCCAACAGAUUGCCCUCUAUGUCAUCCCCAUUCUUCAUCUUAGUUUUAAUCACUCUCCUUCAAUUGGUUUAUCCCUAUUGCCUACAAAUGUGUCCAUGUCUGCUUUAUCCUGAAAAAACUCCCACUCCAUUCUUCUACCUCCAAUAUUAUCCUAUAUCUGUUCUCUUCUCUUUAGCUAAAUUCCUUGAAAAGGUCAUCUAUAACAGGUGUCUCUCAUUUUCUCUUUCACUCUUUUCUUAACCCCUCACAAUUUCACUUCCAACUUAAUCAUUGCACCCAAACUGCUCUCUCCAUAGUCACCAGAGACUUCUUAGUUGCCAAAUCCAGUGUCCUUGCCUAAUCCUCAUUCUCCUUGACCUCUCUAUGGCCUUUGGAACUCUCUUUUCUGAAGGUUUUCCCUACUGUGAAUAAGGUUUCCUUAGAUCUCUAGGGCUUAACCACAUGAAUAGAAAACAACCUGGUUUAUAAUUAGGAAACUCUAGGCGGGUGUCCCUCAUAUCACACAGGUAUAACCCUCAGAUGAUGUGAGAUUAUAGACAAGGUAGAGAAGGGAUGACUGAAUAGCCCUAAUCAUCCUAUUCUAGGCAAGAGGCAGGAGCUGUCAGCUGCUGGCUCCCCUCCAGCUCUUGUACUAAGAACCAGAUGGGAUGAAGACUUAUUUGUUUCCAGCAGUGGAUGAUCCAGUCUGAACAAUGGACACAGUCCAAAGAUCAUUCCCCUUGGCAAAGAGAAAAGCAAAAUGAGCUCAGCACCUCUGCCUGAUUUUUUUCUUUACUCUUUUAAAGUUAUUCUCUUUAAUUGUGAUCAUUGGAUCUCUUCUCUAAUUACCCUUGCUUUCAAAAUGUAGCCUGAAAAAAUUUAUUUUUGAAUCAAGCUUUUUACGCCUGCUUUAGCACAUUAUGAGCACUGUAUUAUUGGCCUAGUUAAAAGAAUAGAUUUUAUUGUUAUCUUUUACUUGCCUAUUGCUGACAUUCUCCAUGUGAACCUCUCUUUAACCCUUCCCAGAUAGCACCUCCUUAUAGUCACAAGACCCCUUAUGAUAGAGAAUUCCAAAAAAUCAAUUCAAACAAACCAAUCAAUAAAUUGAGAAAGCCUUAUGCUCAAAGCAUUAUUUCAAAUAAAUCCUCAAUUCUACAGAAGAAAAAUCAACAACCAACCAACUAUGGUUGUUCUUUCCAUUGCUAUUAUUAUAGGCAUUGUGUUUAUUGUUUGCUUGACUGUACUUAUGUGAGUUAGCAUAUAAAUUCACAAAACUCCAUACUUCUUUGUAUCGAUUAUGUGUACCACCAUUUAUUUUGACCUUCUUCAAUUGAUUGGUGCUCUCUCUGUCUCUCUCUCUUUGUGUCUGUGUAUAUAUAUUAUUUAUUUAUUUACUUUACUGUAAUUUAUUUAUUUACUUUCCUUUGCCUGCUUUUGUUUCAAUAGUCUAUUCCUACAUUAAAGAAAAAUGAAUAGUUUGAAGAAUUGUCUUUGCAUCUAUUCACAUCCUUUUCUUUUACUGGCUUCCCCUUUUCUUUUU
rnacentral:lncRNA from 1 species